AAUAUUGCACAAUGGGGGAAACCCUGAUGCAGCGACGCCGCGUGAGCGAAGAAGGCCUUCGUGUCGUAAAGCUCUGUCCUAAGGGAAGAAACGGACUGUACCUUAGGAGGAAGCCCCGGCUAACUACGUGCCAGCAGCCGCGGUAAUACGUAGGGGGCGAGAGUUAUCCGGAAUUACUGGCCUUAAAAGGUGCGUAUGCGGCCUUUUAAGUCAGAUGUGAAAGGCUACGGCUUAACCGUAGUUAGCAAUUGAAACUAUAAGGCUUGAGAGCAGGAGAGGAGAGUGGAAUUUCUAGUGUAACGGUGAAAUGCGUAGAUAUUAGGAGGAACACCAGUGGCGAAAGCGACUCUCUGGACUGCAACUGACGCUGAGGCACGAAAGCGUGGGGAGCGAA
rnacentral:rRNA from 1 species